GGGAAGAUGGCUCAGUGGUAGAGCACUUGCCUUGCAUGCAUGAGGCCCUGGGUUUGAUUCCUCAGCACCCCA
rnacentral:tRNA from 1 species